GAAAAUGUGAGUCAUAUCUUCCCCCCAGGAUUUCUGUGAGACUCAACUGAGACAAUAUAAGAGUCUUCCAAUAUGUGACUUUCCCCUAUCCAGCUGGGCUGAGCCGCUUCCCAGAGCACACGCUGCCCCGAGGCCUUGGGCACAUCCAUCUCCCCUGCCCCUGCACACCCUCUUUUCUUCUUUCAGCCUGACUAAUUGUCACUCCCAUUCAGGGCCUGGCUACUUAUCCCGUCUAACCUGCGCAACUCCUGACUGUAAGCUGUCUGUGCCUGGAGAUCGAGACCAAAUAUUACUCAGAGCUCAGUGGAUCAUAAAAGCUGUUGAAAGAAGCAGAGGUCAGUAAGGUCCCUCAUCAGCUGGCCGGGCCUCCCACCACUGCCCAUGAGUCUGUAUGCACUUUAACCUUGGGUUGUGGCUCUGCCCACACCGAAUGGAUGAACAGGUGGCCACCCGAGCAAGGCUGCUGUGUAGCUGCCAUCCACCUGCCGCUUGUACCCAUGCACCCUCCUGUCCAGAAGCCAAGCUCAGGCUUUGACUUCAUUCUACAGCUACUUCUGGGGCAUCCCCCAUGCAGCCAUGGGUGUGAACUGAAGACAGGGCUGUGGUGAAACAGAGGUGACAAUGACAUAGCACAUCAAUGUGAUAUUCUGUGGAAUGUCUACACAAUCUAGGUCUCUUCACACUAUACUCUGGUGGCGAGGGGUGGGGGGAAAGUUAACUUGGUCCUGGGUCAAACCAUAAGCGAAUGUUGUCCAUCCUGUGUAAAUGCGAGCUGCUCCUGCCUCUCUUUUCUGACUGGAAGAGAAAAGAAUGCGUUUCCCAACUCCUGGGCCACCUAGCAAGUAGCCGAGGCCUUACCGUACUGCUCUACGAGGACACCCAUCUGUUGUAGCAGCUGACAUGGGGAUUGUUUUGUGGUUGAGUUUUUGGUAGUCUCCCUUCCAGGAUUCAGCUGGUGGAGGAACGACCACCACUGCAUCCUCUGGAGCCUUCAGGGUGGCACUUAUUUCCACCAUCCUCCCUGGCUAUAUUAUCGCUUGCCUGGGGAAGGGCAGUUUCAUAGGCUCACACUUGGUGUUUUCCAUUACAAAAGCAUUUUACCCCACAAGCCAACAGCCCAUUUUGGGGACUGUGCCAACUUGCAAGUAUGCUCUAUUUCAAUUAUAUAUUCAGGGACCGGACAGAUGACCCCAGGUGGGUGUGCAGGCCUAGGGACCCUUGGCCAGGACUCCCCUUAUUGUCUGGUUCCUACAUGUCAAUACUCUAGCAAAAGGACUGUGAUGACAUUUCACAUGUCUAAAUCUCAAUUCCAACUCUGACUCUUGAAACGUUUGGGUUUUCCUCUGUUUCUAGUGUGCUGUUAGCUUAGUAAAUGGCCAUUGGUCCCUUUGGUCAAGGGAUGGGUGGCCAUACUGUGUAUAUUUGCCAUGGUGUUGCAGGAGACCUGGCCUCCUCUUCAGUUACAGGGUUCCAGGCCCAGAAAAUGAGCAAAGGGCUGUAAGAUUUUAUUGGGAUGACUAUACUCAGCCUCCUGACCAUCCAUCCUCAAUUUCUUCUGAUGGUGUAAGGUGGAUGCCACCCUUGCAGUAGUCAGCCCCAGCUGACCCCAUGGGCGCUCUGGAGCAAAAAUGGCCCGUCACGAGGAGGCGGAGUCAAGAUGGCGAUGUGCGUAGAGCAGCGGAGAUCUCCUCCCAAAACCAUAUAUAUUUUUGAAAAUACAACAAAUACAACUAUUCCUAAAAGAGAGACCAGAGGACACAGGACAAUAUCCAGACCACAUCCACACCUGAGAGAACCCAGCGCCUCGCGAAGGGGGUAAGAUACAAGCCCCGGCCCC